rnacentral:lncRNA from 1 species
GUCGCUUUGGAUAAAAGCGUCUGCUAAAUGCAUAUAUUUAUUUUAAAUUUAAUUUAUUUAUUCGCAACAGCCGUAAAUACCUUCAGUUCAAUUGUGGAGUUAAAUUUUUUUCCAAUUUGGUGAAAUGUUAGCCUCAAGUCGUUGUUAAUUUCAGCCUGUGGCCAGGGAAAGGUUAUAAGCCUUGCCCAGUCUUACACAAGCUCCGCCUAUGCUGAUGUACAUGAUUAAAAACAACCACCUUAGAGAGCAAUGUUCUUUUCUCGAAAAACUAAAUCAAUGAAUGUGCAUUUGAGAGAAGGAACAGGAACAUAAGAUUGCAGAUCACAGGUGAAGGAGUGUAUACGCACAGCACCUCAAACAUGACUAGAUUAUUAUACUUCAUAUGUCUUGUCCUUAAACAGUGUGUGUAUGCUGUGUUUGUACUGCGCGUGUCUCAACCAGAGUCAGCAGUGAGAGUUCAGCCUGGACACUCUACAACUCUUCCGUGCUUCACACCAGAUGAUGGACACUUUAAAGUGUUCUGGUUCAAAAUACAAAACAGUUCUGCUCCAGUUUUUGUGGCUUUGGCUGAAUCAGACAAAACUGCCAUAAUAAUUGGAGACAAAUUUCAGGAUCCCACAAAGUAUACAUUAGGAUGGAACAAGCUCAGCUUCAGUCUCUCAGUACUGAACAUGGAGCAAACAGACAUCGCCGUGUACUACUGUGGGAUUAUUAUUUAUCGAGAGAUGUAUUUUGGAAAUGGAACAAGACUGAUGUUUGAAGAGCAUUUUAACGGGACAGAAAAAAAUGAGGAAAAGGAAGAUGACUGUAGGAAUCAGUUUGUCUUUGUUUGGCCAACACUGAUAACAAUCAUUGUGAUGUCCAUACUUCUCAACAUCAUUCUGUUCUACAUCUUAAAGAAACAUAGAGCAGGCAUUUCACAAACUAACGGCAGUCAAAAUUCAAAAACGGAGGAGAUGAACUAUGUAGCAUUAACAUUUGCUCACAAUCAGAAGAAAAUUAAACAGAGACCGAAAAAAGAUCAAGAGCCCCAGGUAACAUAUGGAGCUGUGAAACAUCAAGAGAAUUAA